rnacentral:rRNA from 1 species
CCUACGGGAGGCAGCAGUGAGGAAUAUUGGUCCAUGGGCGCUAGCCUGAACCAGCCAAGUAGCGUGAAGGAUGACUGCCCUAUGGGUUGUAAACUUCUUUUAUAUGGGAAUAAAGUGCAGUAUGUAUACUGCUUUGCAUGUACCUUAUGAAUAAGGAUCGGCUAACUCCGUGCCAGCAGCCGCGGUAAUACGGAGGAUCCGAGCUUUAUCCGGAUUUAUUGGGUUUAAAGGGAGCGUAGGCGGGUUGUUAAGUCAGUUGGGAAAGUUUGCGGCUCAACCGUAAAAUUGCAGUUGAUACUGGCUUCCUUGAGUACAGUAGAGGUAGGCGGAAUUCGUGGGGUAGCGGUGAAAUGCUUAGAUAUCACGAAGAACUCCGAUUGCGAAGGCAGCCUGCUGGACUGUAACUGACGCUGAUGCUCGAAAGUGUGGGUAUCAAACAGGAUUAGAUACCCAGGUAGUC